ACCUGACCUACGGCGGACGGGUGAGUAAUGCUUAGGAAUCUGCCUAUUACUGGGGGACAACAUUCCGAAAGGAAUGCUAAUACCGCAUACGCCCUACGGGGGAAAGCAGGGGAUCUUCGGACCUUGCGCUAAUAGAUGAGCCUAAGUCAGAUUAGCUAGUUGGUGGGGUAAAGGCCUACCAAGGCGACGAUCUGUAGCGGGUCUGAGAGGAUGAUCCGCCACACUGGGACUGAGACACGGCCCAGACUCCUACGGGAGGCAGCAGUGGGGAAUAUUGGACAAUGGGCGAAAGCCUGAUCCAGCCAUGCCUCGUGUGUGAAGAAGGCCUUUUGGUUGUAAAGCACUUUAAGCGAGGAGGAGGCUACCGAGAUUAAUACCCUUGGAUAGUGGACGUUACUCGCAGAAUAAGCACCGGCUAACUCUGUGCCAGCAGCCGCGGUAAUACAGAGGGUGCGAGCGUUAAUCGGAUUUACUGGGCGUAAAGCGUGCGUAGGCGGCUUUUUAAGUCGGAUGUGAAAUCCCUGA
rnacentral:rRNA from 1 species